AGUGAACGCUGGCGGUAGGCCUAACACAUGCAAGUCGAACGGCAGCACAGUAAGAGCUUGCUCUUACGGGUGGCGAGUGGCGGACGGGUGAGGAAUACAUCGGAAUCUACUUUUUCGUGGGGGAUAACGUAGGGAAACUUACGCUAAUACCGCAUACGACCUACGGGUGAAAGCAGGGGAUCUUCGGACCUUGCGCGAUUGAAUGAGCCGAUGUCGGAUUAGCUAGUUGGCGGGGUAAAGGCCCACCAUGGCGACGAUCCGUAGCUGGUCUGAGAGGAUGAUCAGCCACACUGGAACUGAGACACGGUCCAGACUCCUACGGGAGGCAGCAGUGGGGAAUAUUGGACAAUGGGCGCAAGCCUGAUCCAGCCAUACCGCGUGGGUGAAGAAGGCCUUCGGGUUGUAAAGCCCUUUUGCUGGGAAAGAAAAGCAGCAGGUUAAUACCCCGCUGUUCUGACGGUACCCAAAGAAUAAGCACCGGCUAACUUCGUG
rnacentral:rRNA from 1 species